UUUUCUCUCUCCUCUUCUUCUUUCCUCUUCUCCGUUCUUCUUCCCCUGUUCUUCUUCUGUUCGAGUUUUGAGUGAUGAAAUCGUGUUUGAGAAUCAAGAGAAGACGAUACAAAUCGAUCAAUGAGUGUUAAUGGUGAUGUUUGUUAUAAUAGAUAAUUUAGAUUCAAUGAAGUGGUGAAACAGAGAAUCAGAAUUAGGGUUUUUGGAUUUAGUUUUGAGGUUUGUGGAAUUGAGCAGUGUAUUGAGUUGCUGACAGAUGAAGGUUAAGAGGGUUGAUGAUUAAUUGGAUUUAUGAAGUCAUUUUAGUGCUUGAAUCAAGAACUAGGGUUUCAUAAGAAAUUCAUAGAAGAACCAGUAGAUGAAGUUGUUUCUUUAGGGGUUUGAUUUCAUGAAUUAGGGUUUAUAUGAAGAGUAAUUAGAAAUUGAAGAAGUCGGGGUUCUGAAGCUGAGAUCUAUUGAAGCUCAUGGAUGAAUCCGUUAACAGAGUAAGGGUUUGAUUGUGUUAGUUAAAAGGUGAUGAAGCUGUUUUUGGGGUGAAACUGAAUUAAGGGGUUGAGCUUUAUGAAUUUAAAUGGAUAUGUUGGGUAUGUGCUUGAGCUGUAUAUUAGUUUGGUUUGUGCUAAAUCACAUGGAGAAGUAAAGUGGAAGCAAUGGUGAAGUGUUUGUGUAGAUGGUAGUAUUGAACUGGAGCUGAAUUCAAGAGCUGGUGGAUAUUGAAAUGGUUUUUCAGAUGAUUGUGUUUGUUAAGAAAGAGAAGUGGAGAUGAUGUUGAACUAGUUGAAUGAUUGUUAAGUUGCAGGGAAGAUUUGCGCCAGUAAUGAUAUGGGUUUGAUCAGAUUAUGGAUGAGAAUGAAGGUUCUGGGAUAGAAAUAUUGUUGUGUCUAAUGGAGCUGGUGGAGAAGGGUUUGAGUUAUGUCAGUAGGGUAAUGGGUUUACUUAUUAUUGUGAAAGUUUGGUGGUGAUGCUGUCAAGAUAUGGGAGAUGGAUUAUGAGUUUUGUACUUGAUCUAAACUGAGGUUGUUGAUUGAUGCAGUGAGUGUUUGAAGAUAUUGCAGAUGGACAGUGUUGUCUGAGUUGAAGCUUAGAUGUAAGAAUUACAGGAUUUGUGAAUUGUUACAGGCAUAGUGACUUGGGAGAAAAAGAGUAGUUGUAUUGUUAUUUAGCAGUGGCCUUAAUGGAAGCCUGCAACUGCAAAUCAAGGUAAUCUUAAUUACAAUUGUAUUGAACUAUAACAUUUUGUUAGGAUGAAUAAUUUGUGUAAUGUUCAACUGAAGAGAAUUAGAUUGGUAAGUUGGAGCGAUAUAGAGUCCUGAAGUUGUAUUUGAGACUUAGUGUGUUGUAUGUUAUAGUUUUGGUCUGAACCUUUCAACUUAGCUGACUUAAAA